GGGUGAAAUCAUACCAGCGUUAAUGUACCAUAUCCUAUCAAAAAUCUGUAGUUAAGUGUGUUUGGGAUAGAGUAGUAUUGAUAUGGGUGAACUCCCAUAAAGUCUUAGUGUUGCACCUU
rnacentral:rRNA from 1 species